UGGGGAAUUUUGGACAAUGGGGGCAACCCUGAUCCAGCCAUUCCGCGUGAGUGAAGAAGGCCUUCGGGUUGUAAAGCUCUUUUGUCCGGAACGAAACGGUUGGCGUGAACAUCGCCGACUACUGACGGUACCGGAGGAAUAAGCACCGGCUAACUACGUGCCAGCAGCCGCGGUAAUACGUAGGGUGCGAGCGUUAAUCGGAAUUACUGGGCGUAAAGCGUGCGCAGGCGGUUUUGUAAGCCAGAUGUGAAAUCCCCGGGCUUAACCUGGGAACUGCAUUUGGGACUGCAAGGCUUGAGUACGGCAGAGGGGGGUAGAAUUCCACGUGUAGCAGUGAAAUGCGUAGAGAUGUGGAGGAAUACCGAUGGCGAAGGCAGCCCCCUGGGCUAACACUGACGCUCAUGCACGAAAGCGUGGGGAGCAAAC
rnacentral:rRNA from 1 species